rnacentral:rRNA from 1 species
UGGGGAAUAUUGGACAAUGGGCGAAAGCCUGAUCCAGCCAUGCCGCGUGUGUGAAGAAGGUCUUCGGAUUGUAAAUCACUUUAAGUUGGGAGGAAGGGCAGUAAGCGAAUACCUUGCUGUUUUGACGUUACCGACAGAAUAAGCACCGGCUAACUCUGUGCCAGCAGCCGCGGUAAUACAGAGGGUGCAUGCGUUAAUCGGAAUUACUGGGCGUAAAGCGCGCGUAGGUGGUUCGUUAAGUUGAAUGUGAAAGCCCCGGGCUCAACCUGGGAACUGCAUCCAAAACUGGCGGGCUAGAGUAGGGCAGAGGGUGGUGGAAUUACCUGAGUAGCGGUGAAAUGCAUAGAUAUAGGAAGGAACACCAGUGGCGAAGGCGACCACCUGGGCUCAUACUGACACUGAGGUGCGAAAGCGUAGGGAGCAAACAGG